GUCUCCGUGUUGCCUCUCCCUCGAGAUCUCACCUCGCAAGUCCCUCGCCUUUCUCGUUUGCGGCGGCGGGCGGCGGCAGUUGUGGUGGUGCACGGUGCACCGGCUGUCGCGGCCCCGAGUGUGUGAGCGUAGGCGCCCACAGCGUAUUCGGCUCCUGUAGUCCUGUUUCGGCUGCAACCCCUUCUCCCGAAAUAUGAAUGAUGAGGGCAGGAAUAUGAUAAGCAAAGCAAUUCAUUGGAGGGCAGGUUGUGAUGCAAGGUACAAAGAUAUACCUGAAGCCGGAAACCAUAAUGCCUGACCCUGCUUACUUGAUCUCAAUUAUGGUCCACUAGAGUACUAGUCCUGGUUCAAUGUACUGUGUUGCUAUAAGUUCAUGCUGUGCAAUUGUUGCAAGGAGUGAUGUGAAUCACAGAUACUUUCGGGAAGUUGGAAGAGCUUGAUUUCAGGGGUGGAGCGCUGAGCUAGCAUUAAUCAUGACCAUCCAAGGGUUAUACCUCAGCAACUCGUCAGCAAGCAGCCUCAGCCAAUGCAAGGCAAUCAGCAAGAGGCUCCAGCAUUGAAAUAUACAGUUCUAACAGCACUGGAUAUACUGUAUCAUUCAAUGGAUGCCCUGAUGAUGGGACAUGAGACCUGGACCAUUUUAGGAACCAGCUAAAGUCUGGACAAGCUCCACCUACAAGUGACUCCUCAUAUAACUAGCCUGUGGCACCGCCAUAUUAUCAGGAUCGGCAAAUCAGAUGGCAGCAGUCAGAAGAAAAGGUUCAUCAGCUCAUCCCACAUCAGCAGACAGCAGUCAUGACUCAUGAUCCUCCUGUGCAGCCAAUGGCUAUAACCCAGUCUAAAGUCUUAAAACUAAACUACUGGCCUUCCCUCAUCAGCUAAAAUCAUUCCCUAUUUUUGAUCUCAAAAGAAGUAUCCCAAUUUUUUUUCACUAUAAUAAUUUUAAGAUUGUAUUGUAUUCUGUAUAUCAUGUAUUUAUGUUCUUGAGCUCUUCUGGAUCAGUUAGGCCCUAUGAUCUCACCUCAGAAUAUUAUAUUUUGCUAAAGGUUCAGAGCUGAGUAUAUAAUUCUAUUCAAUUAUGCCGUA